UUCAGGCCUAACACAUGCAAGUCGAACGAUGAUGCCCAGCUUGCUGGGCGGAUUAGUGGCGAACGGGUGAGUAACACGUGAGUAACCUGCCCUUGACUUCGGGAUAACUCCGGGAAACCGGGGCUAAUACCGGAUAUGAGCCGUCCUCGCAUGGGGGUGGUUGGAAAGUUUUUCGGUCAGGGAUGGGCUCGCGGCCUAUCAGCUUGUUGGUGGGGUGAUGGCCUACCAAGGCGACGACGGGUAGCCGGCCUGAGAGGGCGACCGGCCACACUGGGACUGAGACACGGCCCAGACUCCUACGGGAGGCAGCAGUGGGGAAUAUUGCACAAUGGGCGAAAGCCUGAUGCAGCGACGCCGCGUGAGGGAUGAAGGCCUUCGGGUUGUAAACCUCUUUCAGCAGGGAAGAAGCGCAAGUGACGGUACCUGCAGAAGAAGCGCCGGCUAACUACGUGCCAGCAGCCGCGGUAAUACGUAGGGCGCAAGCGUUGUCCGGAAUUAUUGGGCGUAAAGAGCUCGUAGGCGGUUUGUCGCGUCUGGUGUGAAAACUCGAGGCUCAACCUCGAGCUUGCAUCGGGUACGGGCAGACUAGAGUGCGGUAGGGGAGACUGGAAUUCCUGGUGUAGCGGUGGAAUGCGCAGAUAUCAGGAGGAACACCGAUGGCGAAGGCAGGUCUCUGGGCCGCAACUGACGCUGAGGAGCGAAAGCAUGGGGAGCGAACAGGAUUAGAUACCCUGGUAGUCCAUGCCGUAAACGUUGGGCACUAGGUGUGGGGCUCGUUCCACGAGUUCCGUGCCGCAGC
rnacentral:rRNA from 1 species